GCUUAAUUCAGCUCAACGAACAUCUCCUUUGGUGGACCUAAAACGGUGGUUACUAGUUCUCCUCUAGAAUGUGACUGUAAUGAUUUCCUCGUUCUACUGGAGACUACAUGGAUGUUACAUUUCUACUAUUGAUAAAUACUGUUAUAUGUGACUUGUGAUGCCGCUUUAUUAAGAGGAAGUACCUCAGUGUGUGGUGCUUGUUAUAUCCUAUUCUUAUCUCUGAUUGGUUCUUUGUUUAUAUGUUCUUUGCUGCUAUAGAGUAAGUAAAGGCAGUUUAUGCAAAAUAUUAG